rnacentral:ncRNA from 1 species
AAAAAUCAGCGGGGAAAGAAGACCCUGUUGAGCUUGACUCUAGUCUGACUCUGUGAAGAGACAUGAGAGGUGUAGCAUAAGUGGGAGGCCGUGAACCCUCGCGGUUGUGUCGUGCCGUCAGUGAAAUACCACUACUUUCAUCGUUUCUUUACUUACUCGGUGAAGCGGAAAGCGGACCAUGAGUGUCCACGCUUCUAGCACUAAGUGCAAGGCCCU